rnacentral:rRNA from 1 species
CAGCAGCCGCGGUAACACGAAGGGUGCAAGCGUUACUCGGAAUUACUGGGCGUAAGGCGUGCGUAGGUGGUGGUUUAAGUCCGUUGUGAAAGCCCUGGGCUCAACCUGGGAAUUGCAGUGGAUACUGGGUCACUAGAGUGUGGUAGAGGAUAGUGGAAUUUCCGGUGUAGCAGUGAAAUGCGUAGAGAUCGGAAGGAACAUCUGUGGCGAAGGCGACUAUCUGGGCCAACACUGACACUGAGGCACGAAAGCGUGGGGAGCAAACAGGAUUAGAUACCCCGGUAGUCCCUGUCUCUUAUAC